ACCCAGACUGCCACCUGAGCGACCUUUGACCUCUGGGUUCCAGGAAGCCGACAUCAUCGGACGAGACGGACGGAUCUACAAAGGACGCUUCAACGUCGACCAGCUGAAGAGCCCAGAAACCAAGCUGCCCAACAUCGUCUCCAGAGACGGUAAACUGAAGGAGAGGACCAGGAACACCCCCAAAACCCCUGCUGUGUCUCCCGAGGCAGAGCCUAGCCCUCUGGCCACGCCCCCGUCUCUCAGCACCAAAAGCCUGCAGCCCAGCCAACCAGCCUCCAGCGGUUCCGGUCCGGACUGGGCCGUGUCGCCUCUGGGCUCCAUCAGUCCACCGUCAGCAGCAGAGAGCGAGCCGCUUGGCCUGUAGGGGGCGGCGCUAAGCCGAAGCGCUACUGCUAUUAUUUUCAUAUCAGUUCAGGAAUAAAGCUCACUGAACACUUCU